rnacentral:rRNA from 1 species
GAUGAACGCUGGCGGCGUGCUUAACACAUGCAAGUCGAGCGGGCAAUUUAUCUAGCACUGAUUACUUCAAAUGGAAAUCAUAAGUGUAAUCAUGAAUUUCUACCUUUAAUAAAGAAAAAAGAAAUUCAUGUACGCAAAUAGUGAUAACACAUUUUAGUGGAGUGAUGAGUGCUGGAUAAAUUGCUAGCGGCGGACGGGUGCGUAACACGUGGGUAACCUGCCCCUAUCACUGGGAUAACACACUGAAAAGUGUGCUAAUACCAGAUAAUAUAAGCUUUUGGCAUCAUUAGCUUAUCAAAGAAUUUCGGAUAGGGAUGGGCCCGCGUCUGAUUAGCUAGUUGGUGAGGUAACGGCUCACCAAGGCAACGAUCAGUAGCCGACCUGAGAGGGUGAUCGGCCACACUGGAACUGAGACACGGUCCAGACUCCUACGGGAGGCAGCAGUGGGGAAUAUUGCACAAU